CCUGGCUCAGGUUUAGCGCUGGCGGCACGCCUAACACAUGCAAGUCGAACGAGAGAUGAGGAGCUUGCUCUUCAAAUCGAGUGGCGAACGGUUGAGUAACGCGUGAGGAACCUGCCUCAAAGAGGGGGACAACUGUUGGAAACGACUGCUAAUACCGCUUAAGCCCACGGUUCGGCAUCGAGCAGAGGGAAAAGGAGCAAUCCGCUUUGAGAUGGCCUCGCGUCCGAUUAGCUAGUUGGUGAGGUAACGGCCCACCAAGGCGACGAUCGGUAGCCGGACUGAGAGGUUGAACGGCCACAUUGGGACUGAGACACGGCCCACACUCCUACGGGAGGCAGCAGUGGGGAAUAUUGCACAAUGGGGGAAACCCUGAUGCAGCGACGCCGCGUGGAGGAAGAAGGUCUUCGGAUUGUAAACUCCUGUUGUUGAGGAAGAUAAUGACGGUACUCAACAAGGAAGUGACGGCUAACUACGUGCCAGCAGCCGCGGUAAAACGUAGGUCACAAGCGUUGUCCGGAAUUACUGGGUGUAAAGGGAGCGCAGGCGGGAGAACAAGUUGGAAGUGAAAUCCAUGGGCUCAACCCAUGAACUGCUUUCAAAACUGUUUUUCUUGAGUAGUGCAGAGGUAGGCGGAAUUCCCGGUGUAGCGGUGGAAUGCGUAGAUAUCGGGAGGAACACCAGUGGCGAAGGCGGCCUACUGGGCACCAACUGACGCUGAGGCUCGAAAGUGUGGGUAGCAAACAGGAUUAGAUACCCUGGUAGUCCACACCGUAAACGAUGAUUACUAGGUGUUGGAGGAUUGACCCCUUCAGUGCCGCAGUUAACACAAUAAGUAAUCCACCUGGGGAGUACGACCGCAAGGUUGAAACUCAAAGGAAUUGACGGGGGCCCGCACAAGCAGUGGAGUAUGUGGUUUAAUUCGACGCAACGCGAAGAACCUUACCAAGUCUUGACAUCCCUUGACGAUGCUGGAAACAGUAUUUCUCUUCGGAGCAAGGAGACAGGUGGUGCAUGGUUGUCGUCAGCUCGUGUCGUGAGAUGUUGGGUUAAGUCCCGCAACGAGCGCAACCCUUAUGGUCAGUUACUACGCAAGAGGACUCUGGCCAGACUGCCGUUGACAAAACGGAGGAAGGUGGGGAUGACGUCAAAUCAUCAUGCCCUUUAUGACUUGGGCUACACACGUACUACAAUGGCGUUAAACAAAGAGAAGCAAGACCGCGAGGUGGAGCAAAACUCAGAAACAACGUCCCAGUUCGGACUGCAGGCUGCAACUCGCCUGCACGAAGUCGGAAUUGCUAGUAAUCGUGGAUCAGCAUGCCACGGUGAAUACGUUCCCGGGCCUUGUACACACCGCCC
rnacentral:rRNA from 1 species